CUUCACCGACCCGAGCCGGAGCGGUUCGGCUCCCGUCCGGGCCCGGCCCGGCCGUAGGUGGCCAGCAGUGCCUGGGCCUC
rnacentral:antisense_RNA from 1 species